CAACAAAUGAAAAUCCAAAAUUCCGUGUGUCACAAAAUUAGAAUAUUACUUAAGGCUAAUACAAAAAAGGGAUUUUUUAGAAAUGUUGGCCAACUGAAAAGUAUGAAAAUGAAAAAUAUGAGCAUGUACAAUACUCAAUACUUGGUUGGAGCUCCUUUUGCCUCAAUUACUGCAUUAAUGCGGCGUGGCAUGGAGUCGAUGAGUUUCUGGCACUGCUCAGGUGUUUUGAGUUAAUCAGCUGAUUAGUUUGUGGCACCAGGUGUCUUCAAAAUUUAACCCUUACACAAUAUUCUAAUUUUGUGACACACGGAAUUUUGGAUUUUCAUUUGUUGCCACUUCAAAUCAUCAAAAUUAAAUGAAAUAAACAUUU